UACGUAGGGGGCAAGCGUUGUCCGGAAUUAUUGGGAGUAAAGCGCGCGCAGGCGGCCUUGUAAGUCUUGUGUUUGAACUUGGGGCUCAACCUCAAGUCGCAUGGGAAACUGCAAAGCUUGAGUACAGAAGAGGAAAGUGGAAUUCCACGUGUAGCGGUGAAAUUCGUAGAGAUGUGGAGGAACACCAGUGGCGAAGGCGACUUUCUGGGCUGUAACUGACGCUGAGGCGCGAAAGCGUGGGGAGCAAACAGG
rnacentral:misc_RNA from 1 species